rnacentral:lncRNA from 1 species
CUCUCCGCUUUGUUGGCCAGCAAACCCUGCUGCAGUGUUUCCUGGCUGUAUGCGCCCUUACUGCUGAUGGCCUCGUACCCAUCCAAGUCCUUUUCUUGCAGCAGCUUCUCCAACGGGAAUCUCAACUUUAGAGCCUGCCAGCUCUGCUUUGUCCAGACCGUCUCAUCGUGUAUAUAUAAAUAUUUGGCGCUGGCCAGCACCAGAGCGAUGCAGAAUAGGAAACAGCACAGUGGACCUCUGUGAUACCUCCGCAUGAUUUAUAAGGAUAAGAUCAAUAAGGGACCACCAUCACAGGGUAUAAUGUCCGUUCAAUCCUUCACCGAUCAUCAUCCGGUCCAAUAGAAAUUCUGUAGAAGCACAGGUGAGCCUGCUCUGGGUUCGAGAUCAAGAGCACUGUACAUUCCAGAUUGACAGCAUGAUUCUCUGAAAUUCAGCUGAAUUGCUUGGUCAUU